rnacentral:rRNA from 1 species
UACGUAGGUCCCGAGCGUUGUCCGGAUUUAUUGGGCGUAAAGCGAGCGCAGGUGGUUUAUUAAGUCUGGUGUAAAAGGCAGUGGCUCAACCAUUGUAUGCAUUGGAAACUGGUAGACUUGAGUGCAGGAGAGGAGAGUGGAAUUCCAUGUGUAGCGGUGAAAUGCGUAGAUAUAUGGAGGAACGCCGGUGGCGAAAGCGGCUCUCUGGCCUGUAACUGACACUGAGGCUCGAAAGCGCGGGGAGCAAACAGG